AGGCUCUCGCAACGAUGAAGAACGCAGCGAAAUGCGAUACGUAAUGUGAAUUGCAGAAUUCCGUGAAUCAUCGAAUCUUUGAACGCAUAUUGCACUCCUUUGGGAGUAUGCCUGUUUGAGAAUCUAUAGUAACUUUUUUUUCCAAAGUUUUUUAACUGGGAAAAAGAUUUGGCGAGUCUCUAGGUUAGAGUACGCUUAAAGCUACAGCUAGUCGCCGAAAGAGCGCCAAAGCAAAAAUGUUUGAAACUCUUUGAGUAACCUACACUAUGUUUUGGGGAAACGUUCUCAAGUAAUUAGCUCAAAAAAGGAUUCUUUAUUGAACCUAGGAGGUUAAUUAUAACCCGAACCAUGGUCUCAAAUCAGGUAGGAGGACCCGCUGA
rnacentral:misc_RNA from 1 species